rnacentral:rRNA from 1 species
UACGGAGGGUGCGAGCGUUGUCCGGAAUCACUGGGCGUAAAGGGCGCGUAGGCGGCCCGCUAAGUCGAACGUGAAAUCCCCAGGCUCAACCUGGGAACUGCGUCCGAUACUGGCAGGCUUGAAUCCGGGAGAGGGAUGUGGAAUUCCAGGUGUAGCGGUGAAAUGCGUAGAUAUCUGGAGGAACACCGGUGGCGAAGGCGGCAUCCUGGACCGGUAUUGACGCUGAGGCGCGAAAGCUAGGGGAGCAAACGGG